GACGAACGCUGGCGGCGUGCUUAACACAUGCAAGUCGAACGGUGAAGCACCUUCCUUUUGGUGGGUGUGGAUGAGUGGCGAACGGGUGAGUAACACGUGAGUAACCUGCCCCCUUCUUCUGGAUAACCGCAUGAAAGUGUGGCUAAUACGGGAUAUUCUGGGUCUGUCGCAUGGCGGGCCUGGGAAAGAUAUUGUUUCGGUGGGGGAUGGGCUCGCGGUCUAUCAGCUUGUUGGUGGGGUGAUGGCCUACCAAGGCGGUGACGGGUAGCCGGCCUGAGAGGGUGGACGGUCACACUGGGACUGAGACACGGCCCAGACUCCUACGGGAGGCAGCAGUGGGGAAUAGUGCACAAUGGGCGCAAGCCUGAUGCAGCGACGCCGCGUGAGGGAUGGAGGCCUGCGGGUUGUAAACCUCUUUCGCCAGUGAAGCAGGCCUGUCCCUUUUGUGGGUGGGUUGACGGUAGCUGGAUAAGAAGCGCCGGCUAACUACGUG
rnacentral:rRNA from 1 species